rnacentral:rRNA from 1 species
GUGGGGAAUAUUCCGCAAUGGACGAAAGUCUGACGGAGCAACGCCGCGUGAGUGAUGAAGGUUUUCGGACUGUAAAGCUCUGUUGUUUAGGACGAAAGUGCCUGUUGCAAAUAGUUACAGGUAUUGACGGUACUGAACGAGGAAGCCACGGCUAACUACGUGCCAGCAGCCGCGGUAAUACGUAGGUGGCAAGCGUUGUCCGGAAUUAUUGGGCGUAAAGAGCAUGUAGGCGGGAAUCUAAGUCUGUUGUGAAAAUGCGGGGCUCAACCCCGUAUUGCGAUGGAAACUGGGUUUCUUGAGUGCAGGAGAGGAAAGGGGAAUUCCCAGUGUAGCGGUGAAAUGCGUAGAUAUUGGGAGGAACACCAGUGGCGAAGGCGGCUUUCUGGACGGUGUCUGACACUGAGGCGCGAAAGCCAGGGGAGCGAACGGGAUUAGAUACCCUGGUAGUCC